CCUUCGAUAGCUCAGUUGGUAGAGUGGAGGACUGUAGUAAGAACAGUUGGGAAUCUUUAGGUCACUGGUUCGAAUCUGGCUCGAAGGA
rnacentral:tRNA from 1 species